AUGCAGCCAGCCAGCCAGCCAGUCAGUCAGCCAGCCAGCCAGCGGAGCACCCUUCCAUCUGCAGUAAUCAGCAGUCUAAUGCUCUAUAACAUGCAGCCAGUCAGCCAGCCAGCCAGUCAGCCAGCCAGCCAGCCAGCCAGCCAGCCAGCCAGCCAGCCUUCCAUCUGCUCACAGUGGAGAGAAAACAAGCAGCAUCUUUGUCAGAUGUGCCUUUGGAGUUCAGCUUUUGGAUCUACACUGUUCUGUUGUUCUGUCGGGUACCCAUUUCAGAUGUUCUGUUGUGUACCACCCAUUUCAGAUGUUCUGUCGGGUACCCAUUUCAGAUGUUCUGUUGGGUACCCAUUUCAGAUGUUCUGUUGUGUACCACCCAUUUCAAAUGUUCUGUUGGGUACCCAUUUCAGAUGUUCUGUCGGGUACCCAUUCAGAUGUUCUGUUGGGUACCCAUUUCAGAUGUUCUGUUGGGUAACCAUUUCAGAUGUUCUGUCGGGUACCCAUUUCAGAUGUUCUGUCGGGUACCCAUUUCAGAUGUUCUGUCGGGUACCCAUUUCAGAUGUUCUGUCGGGUACCCAUUUCAGAUGUUCUGUCGGGUACCCAUUUCAGAUGUUCUGUCGGGUACCCAUUUCAGAUGUUCUGUCGGGUACCCAUUUCAGAUGUUCUGUCGGGUACCCAUUUCAGAUGUUCUGUCGGGUACCCAUUUCAGAUGUUCUGUCGGGUACCCAUUUCAGAUGUUCUGUCGGGUACCCAUUUCAGAUGUUCUGUUGGGUACCCAUUUCAGAUGUUCUGUUGGGUACCCAUUUCAGAUGUUCUGUCGGGUACCCAUUUCAGAUGUUCUGUCGGGUACCCAUUUCAGAUGUUCUGUUGGGUACCCAUUUCAGAUGUUCUGUCGGGUACCCAUUUCAGAUGUUCUGUUGGGUACCCAUUUCAGAUGUUCUGUUCGUUGCAGAAGAAAAUAGUAUAUUUAAAAACAUUUAAAAUGACUUGUCAAAAUGUUAGUGUGUUCUUCUUUCUUUGUCAACCUCAAAGUAAAAAUGAAUGAAUGUACCGUGUUGAAUUCAGGGAGACGAGCGGAGUGGCAGCUGUUUGUAGCCUGGAGCAAUAGCUGCAUGGUCAGCGGGCUAGUGGCUCAGGGAGGGGGUCAGCGGGCUAGUGGCUCAAGGAGGGGGUCAGCGGGCUAGUGGCUCAGGGAGGGGGUCAGCGGGCUAGCGGCUCAGGGAGGGGGUCAGCGGGCUAGUGGCUCAGGGAGGGGGUCAGCGGGCUAGUGGCUCAGGGAGGGGAUCAGCGGGCUAGUGGCUCAGGGAGGGGGUCAGCGGGCUAGUGGCUCAAGGAGGGGGUCAGCGGGCUAGUGGCUCAGGGAGGGGGUCAGCGGGCUAGCGGCUCAGGGAGGGGGUCAGCGGGCUAGUGGCUCAGGGAGGGGAUCAGUGGCUCAGGGAGGGGAUCAGCGGGCUAGUGGCUCAGGGAGGGGGUCAGCGGCUCAGGGAGGGGGUCAGCGGGCUAGUGGCUCAGGGAGGGGGUCAGCGGGCUAGUGGCUCAGGGAGGGGGUCAGCGGGCUAGUGGCUCAGGGAGGGGGUCAGCGGGCUAGUGGCUCAGGGAGGGGGUCAGUGGCUCAGGGAGGGGAUCAGCGGGCUAGCGGCUCAGGGAGGGGAUCAGCGGGCUAGUGGCUCAGGGAGGGGGUCAGCGGGCUAGUGGCUCAGGGAGGGGGUCAGUGGCUCAGGGAGGGGGUCAGCGGGCUAGUGGCUCAGGGAGGGGGCCGCCUGGUUUAACCAUUCUAUUCUAUUAUAGUAGCUUUGCAAAAAAAUAAAUAUGUAAAAACGUGUUUUAAGAAGUCAAAAAUGUAAAUGGUUCUUUAACAAUAAAACUGGGAUAAAUAAAUACUUUAUACAGAUGUAUUUCUCUGAUACUAUACAAAUCACAAUGGUUGUGAAUGUAUUAAUGUUAUGAACAACGGAAUAAAACUGAAGACCAAUUGUCCUCUUGAUUCUUAUUGUUACUAAAACGGAUAACUGCCUCAGAACGCUGUUCAUUGACUACAGCUCAGCGUUCAACACCAUAUAGUGGCCUCAAAGCUCAUCACUAAGCUAAGGACCCUGGGACUAAACACUUCCCUCUGCAACUAGACUUCCUGAUGGGCCGCCCCCGAGGUGGUGAGGGUAGGCAACAACACGUCUGCCACGCUGAUCCUCAACACAGGGGCCCCUCAGGGGUGCGUGCUCAGUCCCCUCCUGUACUCCCUGUUCACCCACGACUGCGUGGCCAAGCACGACUCCAACACCAUCAUUAAGUUUGCUGACAACACAACAGUGGUAGGUCUGAUCACCGACAACGAUGAGACAGCCUAUAGGGAGGAGGUCAGAGACUGUUCUCUCUGCUACCGCACUGCAAGCAGUACCGGAGCGCUAAGUCUAGGACCUACAGGCUCCUUAACAGCUUCUACCCCCAAGACAUAAGACUGUUGAACAAUUAACUAUUUACAUUGUUUUGUACACUGCUGCUACUCGCUGUUUAUUAUCUAUGCAUAGUUACUUCACCCCUACCUACAUGUACAAAUUACCUCUAUCCUGUACACUGACUCGGUACCGG
rnacentral:lncRNA from 1 species